GGAGUCUGGACCGUAUCUCAGUUCCAAUGUGGGGGACCUUCCUCUCAGAACCCCUACCGAUCGUUGCCACGGUGGGCCGUUACCCCGCCGUCAAGCUAAUCGGACGCAUCCCCAUCCUCUGGCGUGAAACUUUAGUGCUCGUCAGAUGUCCUCAAAGCACAACAUAGGGUGUUAAUCCGCAUUUCUACGGGCUAUGCCCUACCAGGGGGAAGGUUGGAUACGCGUUACUCACCCGUGCGCCGGUCGCCAUCAGGAAUUGCAAGCAACUCCCAUGCUGCCCCUCGACUUGCAUGUGUUAAGCCUGUAGCUAGCGUUCAUCCUGAGCCAAGAUCAAACUCU
rnacentral:rRNA from 1 species